AUCAAAGAAGGUAAUAAUCCUGUAGUCGAAAAUGUUGUCUCUCUUGAGUGGAUCCUGAGUACGACGGAGCACGUGAAAUUCCGUCGGAAUCUGGGAGGACCAUCUCCUAAGGCUAAAUACUCUCUAGUGACCGAUAGUGAACCAGUACCGUGAGGGAAAGGUGAAAAGCACCCCGGAAGGGGAGUGAAAUAGAACCUGAAACCGUGUGCUUACAAGUAGUCAGAGCCCGUUAAUGGGUGAUGGCGUGCCUUUUGUAGAAUGAACCGGCGAGUUACGAUUUGAUGCAAGGUUAAGCAGUAAAUGUGGAGCCGUAGCGAAAGCGAGUCUGAAUAGGGCGUUUAGUAUUUGGUCGUAGACCCGAAACCAGGUGAUCUACCCUUGGUCAGGUUGAAGUUCAGGUAACACUGAAUGGAGGACCGAACCGACUUACGUUGAAAAGUGAGCGGAUGAACUGAGGGUAGCGGAGAAAUUCCAAUCGAACCUGGAGAUAGCUGGUUCUCUCCGAAAUAGCUUUAGGGCUAGCCUCAAGUGAUGAUUAUUGGAGGUAGAGCACUGUUUGGACGAGGGGCCCCUCUCGGGUUACCGAAUUCAGACAAACUCCGAAUGCCAAUUAAUUUAACUUGGGAGUCAGAACAUGGGUGAUAAGGUCCGUGUUCGAAAGGGAAACAGCCCAGACCACCAGCUAAGGUCCCAAAAUAUAUGUUAAGUGGAAAAGGAUGUGGCGUUGCCCAGACAACUAGGAUGUUGGCUUAGAAGCAGCCAUCAUUUAAAGAGUGCGUAAUAGCUCACUAGUCGAGUGACACUGCGCCGAAAAUGUACCGGGGCUAAACAUA
rnacentral:rRNA from 1 species